CGUGUGUGGUUAUUCUAAAUUCCCGUAUGCUAUGUUGGGGGUUUUACUGGAUUAUCCUCUGGAAUCGGGAUGUUCGUGAGUGGAAGCGGUUCGUGUGGUUCCUGCCAUGAAGACAAG